UGGGGAAUAUUGCACAAUGGAGGGAACUCUGAUGCAGCGACGCCGCGUGAACGAAGAAGGCUUUCGAGUCGUAAAGUUCUUUUAUAUGGGAAGAUAAUGACGGUACCAUAAGAAAAAGCCCCGGCUAACUACGUGCCAGCAGCCGCGGUAAUACGUAGGGGGCUAGCGUUGUCCGGAAUCACUGGGCGUAAAGGGUUCGCAGGCGGAAAUGCAAGUCAGGUGUAAAAGGCAGUAGCUUAACUACUGUAAGCAUUUGAAACUGCAUAUCUGGAGAAGAGUAGAGGUAAGUGGAAUUUUUAGUGUAGCGGUGAAAUGCGUAGAUAUUAAAAAGAAUACCGGUGGCGAAGGCGACGUACUGGGCUCAUUCUGACGCUGAGGAACGAAAGCGUGGGUAGCAAACAGG
rnacentral:rRNA from 1 species